UACGAAGGGGGCUAGCGUUGUUCGGAUUUACUGGGCGUAAAGGGUGCGUAGGCGGAUUUUUAAGUCAGGGGUGAAAUCCCAAGGCUCAACCUUGGAACUGCCUUUGAUACUGAAGAUCUUGAGUUCGGGAGAGGUGAGUGGAACUGCGAGUGUAGAGGUGAAAUUCGUAGAUAUUCGCAAGAACACCAGUGGCGAAGGCGGCUCACUGGCCCGAUACUGACGCUGAGGCACGAAAGCGUGGGGAGAAAACAGG
rnacentral:rRNA from 1 species